AAGGCUCCUCCAGUUCGCGGCUGGCCGGCCGCCGGGCCCAGCAGGCCGCCCGCCGAGUGGCGUCUCGGCCACCUGCCGGCCCGCAGCCAGGCUCGGGCAAGGGCAUCUCGGUUCCCGGGGCCACGCUGGGGGGAUCAGGGGUGAGGGGGACGCUUACCACAGGCAGGCCCGACCUACUCGGUAGUUCUCAGGAGAGACGUGCGACACCGACAGUUGACGCCCGGAAAAUAAAAACACGGGGGGAGGGGGCGUGGACCCUGCGCCAGGGGUCGCUGGCGCACAGGUGUGUUCAAUGACGGCUCCGGCCGAGCCCCGCGGACUGCUGAGGAGUGGUCCCUGGGAGACUGCCACCUGCUCCGUUAGCAUCGGGGGAAGGGAGUAGAAACGGAAUCAAAGUAUGUGUCUCCCCUUUUUAAUUCACACUAGGUGUUUACCACAGUAGGUCACACCUACGUUUAACAAGCUUCGUUCUCUUCCCUUUAACUUUCCCCUCCAGAAAUUUCAAGAAAAUGUGCUACCUUUCAAUGUAACUCUCCCCUCUUUUUCAUCUUGUGUCAGUGCUGUCCAAUGAAAAUAUAAUGCGAGCCACAAAUGCAAACCACUUAUGUAAUUUUACAUUUUCGAGAAGCCACAUUAAAUGAGUGAAAAGAAACAAGUGAGGCCAGGCGCGGUGGCUCACGCCUGUAAUCCCAGCACUUUGGGAGGCCGACGCGGGCGGAUCACCUGAGGUCGCGAGUUCGAGACCAGCCUGACCAACAUGGAGCAGCCCCGUCUCUACUAAAAAUACAAAAUUAGCCGGGCGUGGUGGCACAUGCCUGUAAUCCUAGCUAUUCGGGAGGCUGAGGCAGGAGAAUCACUUGAACGCAGGAGGCAGAGGUUGCAGUGGCCGAGAUCAUACCAUUGCACUCCAAGAGCCAGAUUCCGUCUCAAAAACAACAACAACAACAAAAAGCUUUUAUGAUGAAUAGCACCUUUUCUAACACCUGGGACUUUCCUAUGUGAAGAUAAGGCCAUUCUGCAUACAUGGUGAUGUCACAACAUCUUCACACCCUCUUGUUAGGAAAAUUAGGCCAAUGGAACACAAGAGACUAAUACCACUUAUUCCUGUGAAUCAACCAGUGACCUGUGGCUCCUGUUCAAAAUAAACAAAAGGGAUUGGUAACACAAAGAUAUGGAUUGGCAUCCUACUUUUGGGUAUAAGAUGGAAUCACACAGAGUAACUUAUUUGCUGAGUGGGCACAGACUUUAAUUUCUCUACAUAAUCGGACAAACUGUUGGAUAUCCCUUUUGCUGGGACUCAGAGUUACAAAUGACCCUCACCAUACUGAAGCUUUCUGACUGAGUUCCUCUCUGACCUGAAUAUAAGAGACCCUAAUAGGUAGGUAGGAAUAUCAUUGCCCCUGUUCAGCAUGAAGUUACAGAAGAUGGAUCUUCAUUAUUCUGCAACCCUUAGGAUUACGGGUCCUCUUGUAAAAGGGAUGGGGGAAAUAUGUCAGAAGCAUUCGAACCAGAGUGACUCCAUCUUGAAUGUGACUCCGUCUAGAAGAAUAAGGCUGGGACUUGCUGGGCUGGAUUCCCAGGAGGUUAGGUAUUCCUAGCCUCUAGAUGUUUCUGGUUAAGGGAACAGAUUAAAAAUGUUUACUAAACAGACCCAGGCCCAGGAAUGACCAAUAUCCUGACAUCCUGAGAACAAAGACAUUCCUAAUUUUGCUUUAAAGAGAAUAAUAUCAAUUUUUGCAAAAUAUAGUAAUUGAGAAAAUUAGUCCUUUAUCACAAGCUCUUGUCGUAGAGCACAUCUCCUUGUGAUUUUUUGUUGUUGUUGUUGUUAUCCUAUAUAUAAACAAGCACUGUACUUAGGGUGGGUGCAUUCCUCCUCUUACUUUUGGGAAUGCCCUACUCUGUCUAUAGACUAUUUCACUCCUUCACUUUCUUAAUAAACUUACUUUCACUUUGCACUGUGGACUUGUCUCGAAUUUUUUCUUGCACAAGAUCCAAGAACCCUCUCUUGGGGUCUGGAUCAGGACCCCUUUUUGGUUACAGAAACAGACAAAGGAGUGGACAAACAAAAUGGAUAAGCAGAAAAGAGCAAACUUGAAUAUAUCAUUUUAUAUCUUUUUUAUCAGUCUCUUAGUCCCGAGAAUAGAUCAGUUCAGUUAAACGGCUAUGUCUCAUUCCAGGGGGUGGCAUUACAGAUGGACUAGGACUCUCUGUAUGAAGCAGGCAAACAGAUUUUUAAUAAAAGGUGUUUCUAUGAAAACAGAAGAAAAAGUUAAUAUCUACUGUAGACUAUAUACUAGUUUUUUGAGAGUCUCUGUAGUUCUUCAGAUUGUAGUGUUAAUCUGACAGAGUCUCCUGGUUGUAGUUUAAAUCAGGUGUUGCAGUGAACUUUCUUUAGUAUUCCAUACAUCAACAAGCAUAAAGGCUGUUUAUAUAUAAGUUGCUGUAGUGAUUUUUCCCAUAGUUUAUUCAAGUUGUCUUGCUCCAGACUGCAGGGCUUCAAGAAAAGCAUAGUUUUAACUUCUACUUAUUCCAAGUCAGAAAAAUAGGAGAAAAAAAUUUAAAUGUUAGCUUGGAGACUUGUGGCCAGGAAAGAAUUUAAGAUUUAGUUCAAAUGUAGGCAAAUAAUUAAAACUUAAAAACAAUGGACAAAGCUAGAAUCUAACAACAGGUAUGCUAUCAUUUUCUCCUGAAACAUAAUUUUUCUCUCUCCAGCCCCCCUUUUCUAUUAAAGGCAAAUCAUAGUAGGACCAAUUUAUUUGCAAAAUAAGUUUUAGUUUUAUUAUAUUUGGCCUGAUUAUUUGCAUAAAGUACAGCAAAAGUAGUGAUUGACCACAUAUAGGCUCUUUUAAAGUUUGGCUUUGUUGGAACUUUUUCAUAAGGAAUUUCACAUUCAACUUUUAAAAACUCUCAAGGCUAAGAAGCCAAGACAAGGAUUCACCAUCAGACUGCACUUGUAAUUCCUGUAUAAAUUGGGUAUAUUCCUCUCUUGUCAAGGUCCCCAAAAUAUCCUGAGGCUCUUGGGCCUGCCAGAGAGUGACAUUCUUUACUACAGCAAGGUCAGGAAUCUUGUAAGGAAACUGUAUAGACAAGGUACCAGGCAAAUUUUUCCAACAGGCUUUUUAUAGGCUCUAUAAAGUCAACUUCAAAUCCUCAAAGCAGUCUGGUCAUUAAAAAAUGAUGCCAUUCCAAUGAAAGCCUUGGCAAAAUAAUCAGUGUAUCCAACUGUGUUCUGUUACAAAAGAAAACAGAUUCUUAUUGAAUUCGUACAAAUAACUAUAUUGCCAAAAGUGAAGAAUACUCAAAAAUACUUUCCAAAUUCUGGAGACAUCAGGUAGAGAGAAAGGUUAGUGUUUCAAUUGUUCUCACAAAAGUGUAAUUUAUCCAAUUACUGUAAGCUAUGUACAGCUCAAAAGAAAAAAACAAUUUUCUUUUUACUCUGGAAAACAAAACUAAAAAGUAUCAGCAAUGUCUCAAACCAGAAAAAGGUUAUGAAAAUAUUAUUUUGGCAUUUUAUCAGUUCAGCCCUAUGUAAUUGACUUUUUUUCUGCUUGAUGUUGGAUUAGCAAUCUUCAUUAAUUUAUUAGAUUUUUAAAAAUUAUUUUAGAAGUUUUUAACUAGUCCAAUGGUGUGAAUUCCAAAGUUAUCAGAAAACUGUGUUUAAGUGUGUGUGCUGUCAGGGCCCUUUCCAUGGAUUUUUUUCUUUUUUGAACAAGCAGAUUUUAGGCUGUAGCCAAUUACAAACCACUUUUGAAAAGAAU